rnacentral:sRNA from 1 species
CUAUAGUCAGCAUGUCAGACUACGUUCGAAUUGGAUACUAUGGUUUGAGAAUUUUGUGUUUUCUAUGUGACAAGCUCAACUCCAAGAAUACAGUACUGCCCAAAGAAGAUAACGAGGCCACCACUUGCGAUUCUAAAGAUGAAGACACUCCAACUAACGCUGAUACUCCUGAUUCUGUACGUACACAGGACCCGGAAGAAAGCCAAGAAACUUAGCGUCUGUCAACUUCUGAACAAAAUGUUUCAGAAUAAACUGUCAAAUGGAAAAAAAAAGUUGAAACAUUGUUGAAGAAAUGUGCGACUAAAAAUAAUUUCAAGGCGCAAUUAACAAACAGGAACUAUGGUCAGGCUGCAUCUCAAACAUAACACACAUACAACUAAUAAAAGACAAAUUAUUUUUUAAAUGUUUU